AUGGCCGCCGCCACUCCACCAAAUCCUCUUCCUCGGGAUCUCCCCCACUCCAAAUCAGCAGCACCACCUUCCCCUCCUCGAUUUUGCUACCGAACCAACCAGCCACUCCUGUCGAUCCACCAACCACAGCGCCUGCAGCCUCCUCCCCGCCUCCGUCCGGCCAGCCUCCUCCUCACCACUGGAUCGAAGCCCCGUGCUCCCCACCACCUCGCCCUCGCGAGCACGACCACCGGGGCGCCACCUUGCCGGUCCUCUCGCGCGCCCGAUGCUCAAGCUCCUCUGCCCAGGCGUCCCACGCACCUCAAGCCGUCGUCGUCCUUCGUCCAUGGCCUCCUCCUCCUCCAGGCCUUCGCUGCCUCGUCUCGCUCCAGACCUGCUGCCGUGCUGCCGGCGGCCUGGUCCAAGAGCAGAUGA
rnacentral:rRNA from 1 species